UAUAGCUUGCUAAACUUGCAUACUCUUCUAAAUAAAUCUAGAUGCCAUCCUACCACCAACCUUUCUUAGCCGCUUAUACUACAAUUUCAUAUCUACUACUUUUAUCUUUUUUCACAUCAUGCUCUAUUGCUUCUUGCACUUGAUAAUAACCUCACUAUUCACUAAUUACUACUCAACUUAUAAAUGUCUCUAUGUCUUAGUUUCCACCUUUUUGCCCUCCAAAAUCCACCUCACUUAAUUCAAAAAUAACAAUUGUUACCUUGACUCAUUUGCACAAUGCCCACAAAAACCUACUCUAUCACACAACAUAUAUUUGUAUUAAUCCAUCAAAUACUUAUUUAUAGAUAAU
rnacentral:lncRNA from 1 species